rnacentral:misc_RNA from 1 species
AACCCUCAAGCACCGCUUGGCGUUGGGGCCCUACGGCUUCCCCGUAGGCCCUCAAAGGUAGUGGCGGACCCUCCCGGAGCCUCCUUUGCGUAGUAACAUUCUCGUCUCGCACUGGGAUCCGGAGGGACUCUGGCCGUUAAACCCCCCAAAUCUAUAAGG